rnacentral:rRNA from 1 species
UACGAAGGUGGCAAGCGUUGUUCGGAUUUACUGGGCGUACAGGGAGCGUAGGCGGUUGGAUAAGCCCUCCGUGAAAUCUCCAGGCUUAACCUGGAAAGUGCAGAGGGGACUGUUCAGUUAGAGGAUGGGAGAGGAGCGCGGAAUUCCCGGUGUAGCGGUGAAAUGCGUAGAGAUCGGGAGGAAGGCCGGUGGCGAAGGCGGCGCUCUGGAACAUUUCUGACGCUGAGGCUCGAAAGCGUGGGGGAGCAAACAGG